rnacentral:pre_miRNA from 1 species
UUACAUCAAAUUUGUAUGGAGUUUGGAACGUUUGCCGCAAGGGGCGCUGUUACAACUGCAUACAAAUUUAAGUGA